rnacentral:tRNA from 1 species
ACCGGAUAGCUCAGCUGUAGAGCAUUUGCGGUAUGCGGAGGGUCGCCGGUUCGAUUCCGGCUCGCGGCG